rnacentral:lncRNA from 1 species
UUUGAUUACAAAAAAAUUAAUAUAUGUGUUAUACAUAAUGUAUUAUAUUUUUUUAGCUAUAUUAGUUUAUAAGUUACGAGGAAAAAAAACUAUAAAGAUUUAUGACACAAUGAGUGACAACGGUUCGGAUAAUUUUUGGCAUUUGUGUUCAUGUAUUACAAUAUACAAUAUUUGAGUUAUGCAUGUAUUAACUAUAUUAUAACAGUGGUUUGAUCAAAAAACUAGUAGGAUUUCAAAUUUAUUUUUACAAUUUUUAACUUUAUGGAAGAAGACUAUAUGUAUUAAUAUUGCUGUAAUAAGAAAGGUAGGUAUUAUUUUAUUUACAAUAUUAUACAAAUUAUAUUUAUUAGUGUAGUAUUUUAAAAACUAUAUAACUUUCAUUGUUUGAUGAAACGUUCGGCACAAUACAUGCUUUAUGUAUAUUAUUUAAUAUGUUAUGUUCUAUCGCUCCUAAAUGGUUUUAUAAAUAUACACAAAUGUUUAUUGAUGAAAUACCAAAACCAUCAGAGUUUCUAAAAAAUUUAUUUUUGGAUUGAAAUCUUAUUCCUAAAAAACUUAUUGUUUUGGACUUUUUACUUUGAACUAAAAUAUUUUCGACAACAAAAAUAAAGUAAUUAUUAUUGUCAUUAUCCAUUACAAUUAUGCAGUCGUCUUGAUGAGUAUAUAAAUUUCGUUUUUUUUGCUUUACUUAUUUGAAAAAUAAAAUAUUCAAAUUUUAUAUGCAUAUAUUAUUCACAGUUCACAUGUUUAUUUAAUAGUGGUCCAUUGUUAUCCUUUUCUUUAAAAACUGGAAAACUGUUGCUAGUUGUCAAAUAUUUUUGUUCCCUUGCUAACCUAUCUUCAAUAAUUCUGUUGUACAAUUCAGUUAUUGCAUAUCUUCUAGAUUUUAAGUACCUUUUUAAUCGGCCUGAAAAUUUUUCAUACCAGAACACAUUAAAUUGAUUAAUGUUUCCAUUUCUUAAUACAUCAUUGAAAAGGUGAAGUAAUGAAUGAUCAUUGUAUGAUAUUAAAAAACUCGCAUGUAUAAUUCCAAAAGUGUCAAUAAAGUACCUUAAAAUUUAUUUAUUUAUUAAUAAUUUAUUCUCAUUCUUAUUUGUUGUUUUAGGUAACGAAAGUAUAUGCAUUGCACAGUAAAAUGCAAUAAAGUUCUUAUAAAUGGAAUCUGGUAUGUCUUUAAAUAUUAAUAUCCCUGUAUAUAACAUUAUUUGUCUUAAUUUGCCUUAUAAUGACAAUAUUUAUUUAGUCACAAUGGUAUGCGAAAUCUGUACUCAAAAAUGGUGCUGUUGUUUUCAUACUAUUAAAUAAAAUACCUUUAGGUAUAUAUACAUAUUCAUAUACAUAUGAAGAUGGCAAUGAAGAUUUAAAAUUGUUUUCUUCCGAUGAAUCAUUUGUGGAUCAAAAUAAACGAAAACUGUUCCCCAAUAAACUUUUUUGUUAAAGUGAUCAGUUAGUAGUUGGAUCAAAAAAGAAAACUAAACACCUUGAAGUUUUUACUUUGCCACCUAUGCCUUUAUAUCAAUCUAGUAAGUUUUAAUGUGUGUUGCUUAAAAAUAACCAGGAUUUGUAAUGGAAAAAUGCAUAAAUAAUUUCAAUUUAAAAAUAUGGAAUGAGCGCAUUUAUGUUCCAAAUCCUGUUUAGAUUUUCUGAUUAAUUAGUUAAUUCAUUUGAAAUGUGUACAGCUCAGAAAAAUGAAAUGCCUAUUAAAUCAACACCACCACACAAUGAGGUAAUAAUAAAUAACUUGAAUGUUUCACUUUCAUUGUUAAGUGAUCAGGACAGUAAUAAUUUUUCGACUACAUUUGUAAAAAAUAUAAGUUACUCGAAUAAAUCCUCAAAUCACCAAAUGAUAGGUACUUUAUUUUAUUUUUUUUUAUUUUUUUGAACUUACUACAAUUUUUAUAAGGCUUGGGUACUGUAUUCUAUAUAAAUAUCUAAAACUUUGGAAUUGUAUACAUUUUUAAUUGGAUUUUAAUAAUUUUAUCUUGUUUUUAUUAUUUACAGCUACUUUUAAAAAUUCAUCUGAAGUAAUUAACACCAAAAAAAUUCACAACCGACUUUUGGAAUUGAUUAUGUCACUAACUUACUUAACUAUGGUACAUAUAUUAUAUGAUGUUUGAUCACUAAAUUUGUAUACUAUAAUUCAUAUAUAUUUUUAUCUAUUAAGUAGGAAUAAAAAUUAUUUCAAAAUAAAAACAAAUGUUUAAAUCAAAAUUUGAAUUUGUGUAGUCAUCAUAUUGGUCUAUUAACUAUAAUUAUUACAAAUUAGUUUCAGAUCAGUACAAAUUAAUUCAAAAUACACUGAAUAAAAUUAAAGUAGACAUUGUUGAUAUACAAAAUCAAAUUCAACAUCAAAGUUUACAAUUAAGAUUAAACACUGGAAAUGUAGAUAACUCACUUAAAUUACCAUUUGAAACAGUUUUCGAAAUUAGAUGAGUUUGAGUUGAAUCCCAAAGAUGUGAUUAAUGAAAGAAGAUGAGAUUAAUGAAAGUAGAUUGGUAAAUAUUUCAUUUAACAAAAUAGGUAAAUAGUAAAAUUGUAUAAAUAAUUAAUAUAUUCUUAUAAAAAAAUUGUCUUCUAAAAGUUAGACAUGUGAAAUAACCUUCAAAAAUGAUAUAUAAUUUAUUAAAAAAAAGUGAUGAAAAAUAAAGUAGCUGGAACAUUCAAUUUAACAGAAAAAUGAAAUAAGAAUGCAUUUGGAAAAUAUAAAACAACUCAAAUAAUACAAAGUGAGUUGAUAUAUUUUGUUUGUUAAAUAUUUUUACCUACAUUAGUAAAAUAGUUAAUAAAUAUGAGUAAUAAUAAUUAAUAAUAAUAAGUAGUAUGUUUGAUAAUGUGUUAUAGUUAUUAAUGAGUAGUAUAUCUAGUGGAAAAGCACACUCUAUAUGGCUAUGACUCAUACUGAAAUUUCAGGUUAAAUUAGAACUUUUUAUGUACAUAGGUACUAUAUUUCACAUAACUGUAUCCAUACCUGUCCAUACUUAGGAUAUCAUAUUUUCAUUAUGUAAAUGAUUUUUGAGGAAGCAACAGGUUAAUGUUAGAUUAAUGUAAUUUAAUGAAGUAUCAAUUAUAAUUAAUAUAAAUACAAUUAUCAAUAUUUAAAAAGAAAACAAAUUAGAAAACAUAAUUUUAAAUAAUAUUAAAAAUGUAUAUCUUUUUAAUCUUUAUUUGUAUUGUUUGUGAUCAUUAUAAUUACCCAGCGUCUUAGAUACUUUCUAGUUGUGGCUAUGCUAUAAUGCUAUAGUGGUGAAUUGGCUCACCAGUUAAAAUAAUUUUCAUAUAUGCAUGCCACUGAUAAUAGUUAUUAGAUUAAAGUUAAUAUUGGGUAUUUUUCUGUAAAAUAAUUAUUCACUUCUAUAUUUUUCAGAUGUAAUCUAUUCUUUACAAGGUAUAACAGAAGUUGAAUAAUUGAAUUUUUAGGACUAUGGUUGUGUCAAGCCAGUAACUGUGGGACUAACUAAUAUAUCAUUAUUUUUAUCAAUAUUUAGGGAUGAACACUAUAUCUACUUACUAUAUCUACUUAGAGACUGGUUUAGUUGUG